AUACGUAGGUGGCAAGCGUUGUCCGGAAUUAUUGGGCGUAAAGCGCGCGCAGGCGGUCCUUUAAGUCUGAUGUGAAAGCCCACGGCUCAACCGUGGAGGGUCAUUGGGAACUGGGGGGCUUGAGUGCAGAAGAGGAAAGUGGAAUUCCAAGUGGAGCGGUGAAAUGCGUAGAGAUUUGGAGGAAAACCAGUGGCGAAGGCGACUUUCUGGUCUGUAACUGACGCUGAGGCGCGAAAGCGUGGGGAGCAAACAGGAUUAGAUACCCUGGUAGUCCACGCCGUAAACGAUGAGUGCUAAGUGUUAGGGGGUUUCCGCCCCUUAGUGCUGCAGCUAACGCAUUAAGCACUCCGCCUGGGGAGUACGGUCGCAAGAAUGAAACUCAAAUGAAUUGACGGG
rnacentral:rRNA from 1 species